rnacentral:rRNA from 1 species
GAUGAACGCUGGCGGCGUGCUUAACACAUGCAAGUCGAACGAUGAUGCCCAGCUUGCUGGGUGGAUUAGUGGCGAACGGGUGAGUAACACGUGAGUAACCUGCCCUUGACUCUGGGAUAAGCCUGGGAAACUGGGUCUAAUACCGGAUACGACCAUCUGGCGCAUGUCAUGGUGGUGGAAAGCUUUUGUGGUUUUGGAUGGACUCGCGGCCUAUCAGCUUGUUGGUGGGGUAAUGGCCUACCAAGGCGACGACGGGUAGCCAGCCUGAGAGGGUGACCGGCCACACUGGGACUGAGACACGGCCCAGACUCCUACGGGAGGCAGCAGUGGGGAAUAUUGCACAAUGGGCGCAAGCCUGAUGCAGCGACGCCGCGUGAGGGAUGACGGCCUUCGGGUUGUAAACCUCUUUCAGUAGGGAAGAAGCGAAAGUGACGGUACCUGCAGAAGAAGCGCCGGCUAACUACGUG